AUGGCUCAGGAUGAACGCUAGCUACAGGCUUAACACAUGCAAGUCGAGGGCAGCAUGAACUUAGCUUGCUAAGUUGAUGGCGACCGGCGCACGGGUGAGUAACACGUAUCCAACCUUCCGUUUACUCAGGGAUAGCCUUUCGAAAGAAAGAUUAAUACCUGAUAGUAUGGUGAGAUUGCAUGAUAACACCAUUAAAGAUUUAUUGGUAAACGAUGGGGAUGCGUUCCAUUAGGUAGUAGGCGGGGUAACGGCCCACCUAGCCUGCGAUGGAUAGGGGUUCUGAGAGGAAGGUCCCCCACAUUGGAACUGAGACACGGUCCAAACUCCUACGGGAGGCAGCAGUGAGGAAUAUUGGUCAAUGGGCGAGAGCCUGAACCAGCCAAGUAGCGUGAAGGAUGAAGGUCCUACGGAUUGUAAACUUCUUUUAUACGGGAAUAAAGUUUCCUACGUGUAGGAUUUUGUAUGUACCGUAUGAAUAAGCAUCGGCUAACUCCGUG
rnacentral:rRNA from 1 species